UCCUUGACCUCUCACAGGUGUUCAGAAUUAAGAUGAUUAGGAUCAAUUGGUCCAUAAAUAUUUGUAGUUUGUAGGCACUCCUAGAUCAUUCAGUCAUGUCUCUCCUUUGGCAAUGUGCAAUUGUUUUGGCUGUUGUAGCAGCAAGCGCUGCCAAUGAAGAUUUUAAUGUGGAUUGUGAGAAACACUCCAUUAAAGUGACAUGGAAGGUCAGUCCAGAGCUGGUUGAAAAUGCUGCCCGUCUUUUCCUUGGACACUGUGUUCCGUCCACAUUUUCUGUUCUACCCACGGGAGAAGGGAUGGCGACAUUCCACUACAACCUCAAUGGCUGUGCCAUCAAGAAACGGGUGACUGGCAAAAAACACAUCUAUUCAACCAACCUGACUUACAGACCUGACCGAAAGCCCAAACCUGCUGCUAUUAGUCACCAUAUUAAGUGUGUUUACAUAAGACCUGAGGGGUGGAUUCCCCCAUUCCUUAUCCCUGCCUAUGGUAGUGCUGAGGGUCAUGGAGGAUUGGUUUUCCACAUGGCACUCCUCAAUGAAGACCUUACUGGUCUGGCUAAGACCAGCCUGUUUCCCCCUGGGCUCUUUCAUCCCCAUCUGGGCAGCAGUGGAUCAGAAGGACCAUCAGCCCUUGCUGCUGCUCUUGGAGGAGUGUGUGGCGGCCACAACACCAGAACUGCAGUCUGCGAGCCUGGUGUACCCCAUCAUCACCAACAAGGGUUGCCUUGCUGAUGGGAAGACGGGGAACUCCAGGUUCCUGCCUAGGUACCACUCGUCUGCUAUUCUGCUUUACCUGCAGUCCUUCAAGUUUGCCCUAGGCGAGGAAGUGUAUAUUCAUUGUAAGCUUGUUGCAUGGGACCCUGAGGUUUUUGAUAUAGAAAAGAAGGCCUGCCACUACAUUAAAGAGACUGGAGAAUGGGAGCUGCUGGAUGACCCGUCUCAAAGUGACCUCUGCAAGUGCUGUGACUCGAGUUGCAAGCCUCGGUUGAAGAGGGGUGUGGAUUCAGGACCCCAGGGCCUGGUUCAAAACUCUGUUCUUGGACCGCUCACAAUAGUGGAAUACUCUGAAACCCGGAUCCCCAGUGAAUUUGUAAAAUAUCCUACUGUAAAACAAGUUGACUGGUUGGUGUAAUGGUCUGGAACACUUUGCUUGUCAGGGAUGGCUGUCUUUUCUGUCUCCACAGCCAUCUAAUUGUUGGUGGCCUGAAGGGUGUGCAUCACAGUACAUUUAGAGAAGUGGUGGAAACUACAACCCAGUAUGGAUUUGAAGUCCUUUGACUUUAGCAUGUUUCAAUAAAAUGAGUACUUUACAAUGGU